ACGCUGGCGGCGUGCCUAAUACAUGCAAGUCGAACGCACUGACAGAGAAACUUGUCUCUCUUGACGUGAGUGGCGCACGGGUGAGUAACACGUGGGAAACCUACCCUUCAGCGGGGGAUAACCGUCGGAAACGAUGGCUAAUACCGCAUAGGUCUUUUAACCGCCUGGUUGAAAGAGGAAAGACGGCUUCGGCUGUCACUGAAGGAUGGUCCCGCGGUGCAUUAGCUAGUUGGUAAGGUAACGGCUUACCAAGGCGAUGAUGCAUAGCCGACCUGAGAGGGUGAUCGGCCACAUUGAGACUGAGACACGGCCCAAACUCCUACGGGAGGCAGCAGUAGGGAAUCUUCCGCAAUGGACGCAAGUCUGACGGAGCAACGCCGCGUGUGUGAAGAAGGUCUUCGGAUCGUAGAGCACUGUUAUUAGAGAAGAACAACCGGUAGAGUAACUGUUACCGGCUUGACGGUAUCUAACCAGAAAGCCACGGCUAACUACGUGCCAGCAGCCGCGGUAAUACGUAGGUGGCAAGCGUUGUCCGGAUUUAUUGGGCGUAAAGGGAGCGCAGGCGGUGACUUAAGUCUGAUGUGAAAGCCCACGACUCAACCGUGGAAGGUCAUUGGAAACUGGGUCACUUGAGUGCAGAAGAGGAAAGUGGAAUUCCAUGUGUAGCGGUGAAAUGCGUAGAUAUAUGGAGGAACACCAGUGGCGAAGGCGACUUUCUGGUCUGUAACUGACGCUGAGGCUCGAAAGCGUGGGGAGCAAACAGGAUUAGAUACCCUGGUAGUCC
rnacentral:rRNA from 1 species